rnacentral:tRNA from 1 species
GCGUACUUGGUUUAACGGGUAAAACGUACCGCCUAUUAAGUUCUAGAUGGAAUAGGGAGAAAGGUUAACAUUUCUCAGUAAGAUUUAGGUUCGAAUCCUAAAGUACGUA